UCGACCUGCCCAAAACAAAAUUCCCCACGUGCACCACCACCUCACCGAUCUGUCUUCCUCCCCAACCGGCGUAGUACGAGCUUCCUGGGGUGGAGCCAGUGGACAUCCCCACAGCGGAGCCGGUGUCGGGUCCCCAUAGCCUGGGAAACGAACGAGCUGCCGGCUGCGCCAUUGGUCGAGGCGCAUAGUUUCUUCUCGGGGAGUGCUGCUUGCCUUCUCCUCGAGCUCAUCCCCAGGUCCGACACCCCUCGACGCUGGCCGUCCCGGAGUUUCCCUCGUCGGCCCAGCAUAGGAUCUGCGGGGGAGAGCUGCUCCUCGAGGUCAUCCGGCAGGAGAGCUGCCCCUCGAGGUCAUCCGGCAGGAUUGCCGCCCAGCCUCACGACGGACAUGUCGGGCUGGUGGUCCAAUGUGAGGAUGAUGAUUCGGCACAGGCCAUGGACGAAGUUAUAAUUUGAAGCGCGUUUUAAUUAACACAGCCUUUGCUCAUACAGACAAAGGAGAAGUGUGGUGUACAGGUAGGGAUAUCGAAUGGUGAAACUAUAUACUUAAAAGCAUGGUAGCUUUCCAGCCAACAACAAUUGUUGGGGUAUGGCAAAUACUGGAUCACGGCAUUGCAGAAAAGCUAUAUGCUUUAAGUAAUUGUCCCUGUAUCAUAUCAGUUGAGAAAAGUUGUAUUUCCCUUUGAAAGAUGUUCAAGUAACUAAAGUAUUGUCCCUGGAACAUAUAUUUCAACAAGUUCUACUAUUUCGGUGACGCUUUCUAGCAUCUCAACUUUCAGAGUAGAGUAAUCUUGUUUUUAGUGUAUCUUGUGCUAAUUCAUCAUUGGAACUCAAUAGUGACAUGCUAUAUUCCGUAGCCAUGCCUAAAGUUCAGUCAAACGGAACAACUAAAAUCUGAUGUAUAAUUUCGACAAUGAUCGUGAGUGGCAGUGCAGGGAGAUCAGAGGAAGAUGGUGGCAGUGCAGGGAGAUCAGAGGCAGAUGGUGGGCGGCGGCGGCGGCGGCGGUGGCUAAUCUUACCCACGUUGAAACUAAUCACGAUGAGAGAAGGUAGUUCAGUUGUUUCAGAUAUCAGAGGCAGAUGGACGGCGGCUAAUCUGACCCACGUUGAAACUAAUCAUGAUGAGAGAAGGUAGUUUAGCUGUUUCAGGAGACAAGAUUGAUCUAGAUCUGAACGCUAGUGGGCUUUUAGUAUGGGCUUUUUAAUUAUAUUCUUUUCAUGUAUAUGUAAACGAUGGAUAGGGGUCUAAGUAUCAACGUGAAAGGUUGUGUACAGCGGUUGCAGGAAUCGGUCAAUAUUUGGUGUCGUGAACAAAAAAAGAAAGAUGAAUUGUUCAUACCAUGCAAAAAAAAAAACAGAUGAAUUGUUCAUUUUCUUUAUUUGAUGCAAAAAUAUAUAUAUCUUUAUUUUGACUUGUACAUGUGAAUCGGUUGGAUAUAUUGGGAAUGAAUAAAGUUUGUGAAUACGAAGCUA